GAAUAGAGAAUAAAAGCAUGGAGCAGUCUCUUGGUAGCACAGAACUUGAAUAUUGUUGAAAAGAGAGACAUGUUGCUGAAGCUUUUCAUCUUGCACUCAUCAGGACUAAAGCAAGAAUGGCAAAUUUCAAACGAUCGCAACAGUUGACACUACAGGAGAAAAGGGGGCUGACUGGUUGACAAGCCGACUCUGAUCGGCUGAGAUGUUGCCAUGGCAGGCUCCCCAGCUCCCAGAGUCCUUUGGACAGAACUACCCCGAGGAGGCGGAUGGAACCCUGGAUUGUAUUAGCAUGGCCCUGACCUGUACGUUUAACAGGUGGGGUACACUGCUCGCUGUGGGGUGCAACGAUGGGCGUAUCGUCAUUUGGGACUUCCUGACGAGGGGUAUUGCCAAAAUCAUCAGCGCACACAUCCAUCCAGUUUGCUCACUAUGUUGGAGUCGAGAUGGGCAUAAACUAGUCAGUGCUUCAACUGAUAACAUCGUGUCACUGUGGGAUGUUCUGUCCGGAGACUGUGACCAGAGGUUCCGUUUUCCAUCACCAGUUCUCAAAGUGCAGUUCCAUCCCAGAGAUCAGAACAGGGUCCUGGUCUGCCCAAUGAAAUGUGCUCCGGUGUUGUUAACUCUCUCUGACUCUAAGCACGUAGUUCUACCUGUAGAUGAUGAUUCUGAUCUUAAUGUUGUGGCAUCUUUUGACCGACGGGGAGAGUAUAUUUAUACAGGGAAUGCCAAGGGAAAGAUCUUGGUUCUAAAGACUGAUACACAGGAGCUGGUGGCUUCAUUCCGAGUCACAACCGGCACCAGUAACACUACCGCUAUUAAAUCUAUUGAAUUUGCGAGGAAAGGCAGCUGUUUCCUUAUAAACACAGCAGACAGAAUCAUUCGAGUGUACGAUGGCCGGGAGAUUUUAACAUGUGGGCGCGAUGGGGAGCCUGAACCAAUGCAGAAGCUGCAAGACUUGGUGAACAGGACACCCUGGAAGAAAUGUUGUUUUUCUGGUGAUGGGGAGUACAUUUGCGCUGGUUCUGCACGGCAGCAUGCACUUUACAUCUGGGAGAAGAGCAUUGGAAACCUGGUGAAGAUUCUACAUGGCACCCGAGGAGAGCUGUUGUUGGAUGUAGCGUGGCACCCAGUCCGACCGAUCAUAGCCUCAAUAUCCAGUGGAGUCGUGUCCAUUUGGGCUCAGAAUCAAGUGGAAAACUGGAGUGCAUUUGCUCCAGACUUCAAAGAGUUAGACGAGAAUGUUGAAUAUGAAGAGAGAGAAUCUGAGUUUGACAUUGAAGAUGAAGAUAAGAGCGAGCCAGAACAGACUGGUGGCGAUGCGGCAGAGGAUGAAGAGGUUGAUGUCACGUCCGUAGACCCUAUUGCUGCUUUCUGUAGCAGCGAUGAAGAAUUUGAAGACUGCAAAGCCCUGCUCUACCUCCCAAUAUCUCCAGAAGUGGAGGAUCCUGAAGAGAAUCCUUAUGGACCUCCCCCUGAAGCAGUACAGAACUCUGGAACUGACGACUUGAGCAACCCAGAGAAGAAGCGGCAGGCAUCUACUGAUGGAUCGCAGCCCCCAAAGAAGAAACCCAAGAUGACCAAUAUUGAGCUACAAGGAGUACCGUGUGAUGAAGUCCACCCAUUGCUGGGUGUGAAGGGCGAUGGCAAGUCGAAGAAAAAGCAAGCAGGCCGGCCAAAAGGAACGAAAGGUAAAGAGAAAGAUUUCAUUAAGUCGAAAGCCUUCAAAGGGGACAGAGGUCAGCCUUUGGAAGGAGCAGUGAAGGGCAAGGAACUGGCGGAAGUGGCUGAGCCACCCGCAGGCCUUGGCCAGUAACGGAAAGUAUUCCGUAUGCCUUCUUGACCACGUUAUCAACAUGUCCUGGAGGUUUAUUUUUCUCCUGCAGAAGGAGGUCUGUGAACGUGCUACCAUCAGGGAUCUGUGGACGUGCAUUCCAAGGAGGAGGUGUAAUUUCAGACCUGCUGUGAACAUGGGCCAUGGUGAUUCUUCAUCCCUGAAAUUGUUGUGCUGCCUUUGUACUUUUUAGUAGUAUGAUGCAGCACCUAGAAAGAGUAUGGCCCUUGUGGCUCUUGGUCAACUUGUCGGCCAAAGCAUAAUGGAACCUUCAUGAACUGCAGGAGUGGACGGUCCUUCAUCCCUCCUCGAAAUAUGGCAUUGCAAAAUCAGUCAACUGAAGAUCUUGGGCAGUUCACCAGGAAACCCAAACUGAUGUGUAAUUCCUGUCUUCACAUGUUAUAUGGUGAAGUUACUUUUCAUUUGGAACCAUAACAGAGGCCACUCGUGGCUGAAGCAUGAACAAGGUACGGCAAAGUGCGCAAAACCAUUUUUGGUUUCUUUUAUCCAGCAGUUUUGCAUUUGAAGUAAUUAUCAGUGGGUAUUAUUUUUGUACCCUGGAAGAUCACUUGCAUCACAAGACUGAUUGGUCAGGUUCACUAAAAAGAUCCAUGCAGUCCAGUUCCUGAGGCUGAAAUUCUCCUGUUUCUCCACUUAAAUUUUUUAAACAAACUAUUUGUGGUAAUUAGAUGCCUGAAUGUUUGUAUUCUAAUUGGAUGAAUAUCUUUUGUAUUGGUUUGUUCUAUGAGUAGCUGAUAGUGAAAGGCUAAAUAUUGUAGAUUUUGCUUUUUUUAUCCCUUCAUCAUUGAACUGGUCCGUUAAUAUUGUUUUGGGCUGUAAUGGAUGCCUUUAUUGAAGUGAAGUGGAGGCUGACAGUUGUUUUGUUUUAUGUACCUUUCUCUUGCCCCUAGACUUUCUAAGUCCAGCAUAUCCACUCAGCUGCUCUGCAUAGCCCUCUGCCUCUUGCAGAAGAACCAGCUGUCAACUUCCUAAUCCUACCAAUCUGUACCAACAUGGGCAGGCUGUUCCAAAUCAGUGUACUGUAGUAAUUCCAAGCCCCUAACCUUGUUGAACCCUGAGGACCUGAAAUUCCACCCGAUGGUGUAACUCUGGCAGGAGACCAGCAGUUGACGGUGAUCUGGUUACACUUUUGCUCUAGAUAAGGACCUGGCGUCGGAGUGGGUGACCAGUGCACCCAGUGGUGAGCUGGAGCAGCAUCCAAGAGGCCCUAGUUCUUCCAACCAGUGGGCUCCAAGCCUGGUCAACUGUAAAUCCAUUCCCUAACACAAGGAGGUCAUUUGAACCUGCUCUGUGAUGGGUUGAAGUGAACCUUUCCACCUCUUAUUUCUACCUGCUCUGCAGCGGAGGAAUGAGGUUAGAGAUUAUGAAGGCAUGGGGAAGGCGAUUAUCAGAAAUGUACCCAUGCUGAUGAGGGCCCCUCCCACUGAUCUUGGAAACUCUGGGAGAGUCAAUCCAGGAGGGCAUCAUCAGGGCCCUCAUUCAUUCUGAAUAACUUGUGGGUCUGAGUGUCCCUCCAUUGCUCAUCAUGUAGAGGACAAGAAAAGUCACCCAAAAUCUAGAUUCUGGAGAUGAGGAUGAGGUGAGAAAAUCUGAUAGUUCACUGCAGUUGAAUUUUUAUAUAAUAUCUGAAAAAAGGUUCUUAAGAUUCUCCAUUGAUUAAACCUUCUCAUUUGUUCGCCAUCAUGAAUGGAAGAAUGAAGAACUGUUGUAAAGUUCCUCGACUCCAGAUCGCUUGGUCAGACCCACACACCGCAACUAAUGAGUGGAUUGCUGUGUUUACACUCACAGUGUAACCUGCUUCCUCUUCCCCAUUCCAAUACACAAACAGUCCAAAGAUCCUCAUGCACACAAUAUCCUAACCUUAACGACUUAUGUACAUUCAAAACCCAUGCUGCCUAAAACGUGAGCUUCCCCAUACACAUGGAACUGUGCGUCAUCUAGCAAAGAAUAUCAAAGUCUAACCCCAUGCACAAAAAUCAAAAACUCCCAUGCAAGCAGAGAAGGUGCUUGCUCCUGAAGCCGCCUGAUUAUUUUGUGGUAUUCUUGUGUUUUCUGUCUGGCACACAAGUUUCCACCCCCUCCCCCCUCCUCCCCCUUAAGUUAGUUUGCUUUGGUUUUUCCUUUUCAGCAGUACUGAUGGUCGUUUAAAGCGACUUGGCCCUGGAGUUUCCGCUCAUUGUAAAAACAAUAGCACUCACAGCAAUAUAUUGCAUCCACGGCACGUACAUUGCAUCACACCUUCAGAUUUCGAGUCCCAGAAAAACAGUGGAAGUAUGACUUGCACAGUAACUUGCCGAAUGAUUCUGAAAGUCGUGUUGUUCUCUUAUCCACCUUUGGUACCCAAGGAAUGAACUGUGGUUCAGUUUCUGUAACGCGUUAUCCUUGUGAUCCAGUUGCGAAAUUUCGGUCCUCCACCUCUAAUUGUUGUUGUGAUGCUGACGAAUUAAUUUCUGUUCAAAUUCCACUGAAUACCGUCGCCAGGGAGCAAACAAAAUAGUUACGAUUAAACGCGUGACCUUCAAUUCUAAAUAAAAUUAGUAACAUGGUAUUUACAGUACAGCAACAGGUCCAUUGCCUAUGUUUAUGCUCUGCACAAGACUGCUGUCUCCUCUCUUCAUCCAACCCCAUCACCCUUAAAUGCAUCUAUGCUAUUAACCAGAACCACUCCUUGUGGUAGUAAGCUCCAUAUUUUCACUACGCUGUUUCCCUUCAUUCUGUUGUCAUUUAUAUUAUCCCUGUUUAUGUAAACCUGCUUUAAUUGGGGAGAUCAGGAGAUGGACUUGAAUAAGGCAGCCCAUUUAGUUGUUCCUUCGAUAUAGCAGUGGGCAUGUUAAAGGAUAUCUUGAAAUAAGCUUCAAUGCAACAAACGCAGUCACUUGCUUUACAGUUUUCAUUUCUUUCUUUAAAAAAUGGCCCCUCUUCUGAACUGUCCUCGAAGCCUUUGCAUUUCUGUUUGACUGCAGAGGGAGCUAAACAUUAGGCAUUGGUGUGGGGAGAACAGAAAGUAUUUCUGCUGUUUUUUUUUAAAAAAAAACACUGGUAGCACCGAAAUCUAGGCACUGGAUACUUUCAGAUGUGAGUUGUGUUUGGUUAUGAACCUUUUGAUGACGCUGUCGGGGAAGGGCGAACUAGAAUUCUAGAUUUGUCCUUUGUUGCUGCUAUUUCGAGGCUGGACAGUUGCUGUUUUUUCUCCUGGGACACUAUAGUCUAAUGCUUCUGGCCCGUGGCCUUUGUGCUGUUAAGAAAUGCCUUGUGUUAGACCCAGCAGCCACUGGUCUUGUUAACAGCUGUUGUUAAACCACCUCUUCCAUUUGGGGCUGGGCUGUUUUGUACUGAUCUUUUAUUAACGUUGAUAGAACAAUACCUGCUCAUUCCUCUGCUGCAUUCAAAUUGGACGGGUCACUAAUAUAUCUCUUAUCAAGGAAAUAUGUCGAUGACCCGAGUGUAUUGAGGUGACAUAUUUGGUAACCAAUAUUGUUGUACAGAACACACGUGCAAGGAUGGUUUGAGCAAUUGUGUAUACAGUUUUUUUUAUUCCUGUAAAUAAUAAACAUUAACCUGGUUUUAA